UCUCUUGUUGAAAAAAGAAAUUAAUAAAUAGUUUUAGGUAAUUUUUAGUAAUUAUAAUUUUAAAGCAAAUAAAUGAUGUAUUAAAUACAUACACAUGCAAAUUUUUAAUAGUUAUUACUUAUACAAACACACACACCCAUUACAUUCAAAACUUAUUUUCUUCAUUGUUUAAACAGACUUUGUGAAUUGAUAAUUUAUGAUAAAAAUGGAACCUUCCAAUUCAUUGGAAGAAAAUAAAGGAAUCCUUGAGAAAAAAAAAAUAAAAAAAAAAAAUAAAUAAAUAAAAAAAAAAUAAAAAAUUCCUUGAUUUAAUAUAUAACAUAUGUACAUACAAUGGAUCAAUAUAAAAUUACAUUUGGGGUUAGCCUUUAUAGUGUUUAAUUUUAAAAUCAACUAUAUUUCUAUAUAUUUUAUCCAAAUCAUUAGGGUUAAAAUUGACAUUAUGAUACACAGCUUUAAGUCUACUGUUCCAUACUAAGUUUCUGUAUUCUGAUAAAAUUAUUAAGUUAAAAUUAUGUAUCAUCUUGUGUUUAGCUUUAGGCAACUUGUUUAAGAGAAUAGAUAAAUUAAUAUUCACAUAGGUUUCACAAUUUCCUUCUAAUGAAUCUCUUACAGUAUUUCUAACAUUACUAAAUAAAGAACAUUCUAAAUAUAAAUGCUUUUCAUUGUCACCAUUAACAGAUUGACAAAAUUUACAAUAUUUUACACCAGGUUUUUUCUUUGAAAAUGGAGUCAUCCCAAAGAUAAGUCUGUAAGAUAUUUCUUUAGCUUUUGUUGCAAUGUGUUUGUUAUGAAGGUUAGUAAAAGUGUCUUUAAAAUCUGUUAUAUUUAAAUCUUUUCCCCAUUUAAUCCUAAUAGCUAAAUUUUCUUGUAACUGUUUUUUUAAUGUUGUGUAUAUUUCUUUAUAUUUAUUGUGUAUUGAAGGUUCAUUGCCUGAAAGAGUUCUUGAGAUGGAUCUAUAAAAAGGAUAUAACAAGGCAACGCUAGAGUUUUUUUCAUGACUGUACAUGAUAAAAUCUCGAAUGAAAUGUGUCAUUCCAUCAAUACUCCUGUCGGGGUGGGUGCAGUAUUGGUCUUGUCCUACGAGUUGGGGAGUGAAGGGUUUAAGUCGUUUAAAAAUCAUUUUUGUCAGUUGUUUAUAGUCUGUAUUGAGUAGUGAGAUGGGCCUGUAGUCACUUGGAGAACUGUUAUCUGUUGUUUUUUUGGCUAAUAGUGUAAUAUAUGCUUCGUUGAAAUUUUUUGGAAGUUGUCCUGUUUUAACAGCGUCACUAUACAGUCGCAGUAAUAGAGGACUUAUUAUGGGAAAAAAUGUCUUAUAGAAUUCAAAUGUCAGACCGUCCGGUCCGGGAGAUUUGUUGUUUUGUGUCGAGUCUAGUGCAGUUUGGAGUUCGUCUAGAGUUAAUGGGGUCUCCAAAAGUUCUUCAUCGGUCUGCUUCAACUGUUUACAAUAUUUUAGAAAACAUUCUUGAGCCUCCUUGUUUAUAGGUUCCAACUGGUAGAUAUUUUUAAAAUGACUUAUGAAAACAUCUUUAAUUUUGUCUUCGUCUUCAACUUUUGAGCCAUGUAUAUCAAGAACACUUGUUAUGCAUUUACUAGACUGAACAUUUUGUUCGAUCGACAAGAAAAGUUUGUUUGGGCCUUCUUGACUUAAAUAGUUCCUGCAUCUAACUUCAGCUCCUUUGUAGAUGUAGUUAUUUAAUUCUUCCAACUUUAAUGAGGCUUGAGUUCUAUCUAUUUCGUCCUCAGCGUGUAAUAGUGUGUGCUUCAGUUUCUCUAGUUCUUGUUUUCUACGUGUUUGUACUAGUGUUGAUAUGACCUGACAUUGUUGUUUUAUUGAGUUUUUUUACUAGUGUCCAUGUUGUUGUUAGGUUAAAGUUUGGAUUGUUUGUAUCUUGUAAGCAAGAAUUGAGUGUGUUUGAGAUUAAUUCUAUAAAAAGAGGUAUUUCUAGAAGAGAAUCAUUAAAUUUCCAAUGACUAGUUUUCCUUGUCUUUUUUUUAAUUUUCGUACUUAUCGUAACUAUUAUUGCCUUAUGGUCUGAAUAUUCCAGAGACUCUUCUAGAUGAGCUACCUUACUUAUAUGAUACUCGGUUGGUACGUAAAUUCUAUCUAGUCUGGAAGUUACGGGAUGAGCUUUAUUCACCGAAGUAGUGUCCUGACCUGUGGGAUUCACACUCCUGUAUGCAUCCUGUAACUUAAAUUCACACUCAAUGUCUUUCAAGAAAUUAUUAAUAGUAGUGUUCAUCUGUGAAGGAAGAUUUACCGUUGUUGUGUACUGCUUGUCUAGUGUGGACGUGAUGUAAUUAAAAUCCCCUCCUAAAAUCAAACUAUCCCCUCUAUAUGUGUCGUGUAAUUUUUCACUCAAAUAUUCAAAAAAUUCCCGUUUCUCUGUUCUUUUUGUUGGUGCAUAAAUGUUAGCCAGUGUAAUUGUUUCAUUUCUUGUUUCUACUUUAAUGAUGACUACUCUCCCUUUGUUGUCACUAUACUUAUGGACUAUUUUAAACCUAUCUGAUACCUGAAAAAUGGCUACCCCCCUGCAUC